AUAUAUAUAUAUAUUACCUCCCCUUCCCCCCAUUCAUAAUCUUUCCCUUCUCUCACUCCGUACAUUAUUUGUGGACCAGUUUCUGCCUAUUCUCUUGAAGCUGAAAUAAUCAAACUAGGACCUAUUACUGCUAUUUGUUCCAUUCUUCCACUAUCCCAUUUGCAAACCCGGUCUUGUCCGUCUCCUUAAAAGUGAAUAGUCUAAAGAGUAUCUAUUGUUUUGGGUGCUAAUGUCUAUUCUGCAUAAAUGUUCUAUCUGUAGUAUUUUUAUUAACUACCUUUUGAAAUUGUUCCAUUUAUCCACUACCUACUUUGUGAACCAGUUCCUGCUUAUCUCCUUAAACCUGUAUAAAUCUGUAUAGUAUCCAUUGCUUUGAGUUCUGAUGUCUUCUAACAUUCUAUCUAAUAUUUGGAUUAACUUCUCUGCUUCUUAGUUUGUUCCAUUCAUCCACUGAUCAUUAUGUUACUCUGUUCUUGUCCAGCUCCUCCUCUCCAUGUCAGGCUAUUGUAAAAAGAUCUUUAGAAAUUGUUGUACAGAUCACCUUAAGGGGCUAUUACACUGGGCAAAUUUUCCGUGAAUCUUCAGUCAAACAACGAUUUCCGCUAGCAUGGUUCUCAUUUGUUUCUUGUUAUUGCUGAUGAUGAUGAUGGUGAGUAAUACCAUCGUCCUUCGGUGAAAUCUACCGUAGCUUUGGAAGAUCGUGGACACGUCAGAAAACCACGGAAAUGUGAGAACCACGCCAGCGGAAAUCGUGGUUUGACUGAAGAUCCACGGAAAAUUUGCCCAGUGUAAUAGCCCCUUUAGGUUGAUGGAAGUCAGUUUGAGUAGUUUAUUGCAGAGGUCAGGUUAGUCUCUAUUGUAAGGUCCUUAGAAGUUUUGUUGAGGUCACCUUUUGCUGGUAGUAUAGUCACAAGGAACAGUUUGUUGCAGAGGUCAGGUUAGGAUCUGUUGUAAAGGUUAUUAAAGAGGUCAUGUUAAGAUCUAUUCAGGUUUUCUGAAUGGGUCAUCUCAGGUCAUUAGAAGUGAUUUGCAGAGGUCAUUUUAGGCUGUAAUGAAGGUCUGUUGAAGUUUUCUGUAAAAGUCAUCUCAGGCCAUCUGAAGUCCAUUGCAAAGGUCAUUUUGUGUUGUAAAGAAGGUCUGUUGUUGUAGAAGUCUUACUGGAGUCAUGAUCAGCUGGUGUGGUUUGUUUUGUGAAUAAGUUUGGCACACAUUUGUUACUUUGUGGAUGUUCUCUUCCAGUUGUUUUAUAUAGUAGAGUAAAAAAAAAAAAAAAAGUCAGGGCUGGUACACAUUUUGAGAUUUUCUUUUCAUGUGAUUGUGUGUCAUCAUACUGACUUUUUUUUUUUUUUUUUUUU